rnacentral:rRNA from 1 species
CCUACGGGUGGCUGCAGUGGGGAAUAUUGGUCAAUGGGCGCAAGCCUGACCCAGCAACGCCGCGUGAGGGAAGAAGGCUUUCGGGUUGUUAACUUCUUUUCUCAGGGACGAAGAAAGUGACGGUACCUGCGGAAUAAGCCACGGCUAACUACGUGCCAGCAGCCGCCGUAAUACGUAGGUGGCAAGCGUUAUCCGGAUUUAUUGGGUGUAACGGGCGUGUAGGGGGGAGGGGAAGUCCGAUGUGAAAACUCAGGGGUCAACCCUAAGCCUGCAUUUGAAACUGGGUUUCUUGAGUGCUGGAGAGGAAAGCGGAAUUCCGGGUGUAGCGGUGAAAUGCGUAGAUAUACGGAGGAACCCCAGUGGCGAAGGCGGAUUGCUGGA